rnacentral:rRNA from 1 species
UACGAAAGGCCCAAACGUUAUUCGGAUUUACUGGGCUUAAAGAGUUCGUAGGCGGCGCAGAAAGUAGGGUGUGAAAGCCCUCGGCUCAACCGAGGAAUUGCGCCCUAAACUACUGUGCUUGAGGGACCUAGAGGUGAGCAGAACUGAUGGUGGAGCGGUGAAAUGCGUUGAUAUCAUCAGGAAUACCGGAGGCGAAGGCGGCUCACUGGCCCGGUACUGACGCUGAGG